CAAUAGCGUAUAUUAAAGUUGUUGCAGUUAAAAAGCUCGUAGUUGAACUUCAGACCUGGCCGGGCGGUCUGCCUAACGGUAUGUACUGUCUGGCUGGGUCUUACCUCUUGGUGAGCCGGCAUGCCCUUUACUGGGUGCGUCGGGGAACCAGGACUUUUACCUUGAGAAAAUUAGAGUGUUCAAAGCAGGCCUAUGCCUGAAUACAUUAGCAUGGAAUAAUAAAAUAGGACGUGCGGUUCUAUUUUGUUGGUUUCUAGAGUCGCCGUAAUGAUUAAUAGGGAUAGUUGGGGGCAUUAGUAUUCAGUUGCUAGAGGUGAAAUUCUUGGAUUUACUGAAGACUAACUACUGCGAAAGCAUUUGCCGAGGAUGUUUUCAUUAA
rnacentral:rRNA from 1 species